CGGGAGGCUUAACACAUGCAAGUCGAGGGGCAUCACGAGGUAGCAAUACUUUGGUGGCGACCGGCGCACGGGUGAGUAACGCGUAUGCAACCUACCCUGUACAGGGGGAUAACCCGGAGAAAUUCGGACUAAUACCCCAUAAUUUUAUUAAAGGGCAUCCUUUGAUAAUUAAAGUUCCGGCGGUACAGGAUGGGCAUGCGUAACAUUAGCUAGUUGGUAGGGUAACGGCCUACCAAGGCUACGAUGUUUAGGGGUCCUGAGAGGGUGAUCCCCCACACUGGUACUGAGACACGGACCAGACUCCUACGGGAGGCAGCAGUGAGGAAUAUUGGUCAAUGGGCGCAAGCCUGAACCAGCCAUCCCGCGUGCAGGAAGACGGCGCUAUGCGUUGUAAACUGCUUUUCCAGUGGGCGAAACUCCCGGUCGUGACCGGGAUUGACGGUACUCUGGGAAUAAGCAUCGGCUAACUCCGUGCCAGCAGCCGCGGUAAUACGGAGGAUGCGAGCGUUAUCCGGAUUUAUUGGGUUUAAAGGGUGCGUAGGCGGAUUAAUAAGUCAGUGGUGAAAACCUGCAGCUUAACUGUGGAACUGCCAUUGAUACUGUUAGUCUUGAGUAUGGUCAAGGUAGGCGGAAUGUGUAAUGUAGCGGUGAAAUGCUUAGAUAUUACACAGAACACCGAUUGCGAAGGCAGCUUGCUGGACCAUUACUGACGCUGAGGCACGAAAGCGUGGGGAUCGAACAGGAUUAGAUACCCUGGUAGUCCACGCCGUAAACGAUGAUCACUCGCUGUUGGCGAUACACAGUCAGCGGCUAAGCAAAAGCAUUAAGUGAUCCACCUGGGGAGUACGGCCGCAAGGCUGAAACUCAAAGGAAUUGACGG
rnacentral:rRNA from 1 species